ACUGUGCUCUCUUGGCAUUCGUGCACGUGUACAUUUUAAUGAGGGAGGGGUCGGUGUAGUAAAUAAAUAAAUAUAUCAAAUGACAGAAUAAAAAAAAGUAUGUGAUCUACUGAAAGUAAAAUGAAUGCAUUGGAUUUUUUAUGCUAAAACAUUUGUGCAAUCACUAGAGUUUAUAAGCGUGAGCUGGUUAAUGACGGGUUUAAACAGGACCUUCAAAUUCUUCACGCUGACUAGAAAUGGCAUCAGAAAUAGCAGUGGUCAGAGACAUGUAUGAAGGGCUGGUUAUUGAAGAAGGACAAGAUGAAGAAAAAGCAAGAAAGCAACACAGAGAACGACAGCUGAACGAAAACCCAGAUAUUCUCUUCAGAGUUUAUAAAGAAGAUGAAGAAAUUCCGCAUGUUCUGCUCUUCAGACCCACGAAUGACAGCUGGUGGAUAGAAAGACUUAAAUAUCGAUAUUCUGGUAUCUUUGCUCAGUGGACUUACAAACAUGCUGAUAAUGAGCCGAUUCGACAUGUGAUGAAUCUCUCUGGUGAUCGGAUUCAGUUGCAGAGAUUCUGUGAUGAGUUUCCAAACAAUCGUUUGAUGUCUCUUGGUGACAAUGAUGAAGAAGCUGAAGAUGAAGAAGCUGAAGAUCUGAGAGCACCAAUAGAAGAUCUGAGAGGAACAAUAGAAGAUCUGAGAGCAAGAAUACAAGAUCUUGAAUUGGAAAACAGAAGAUGUAGUCUACAAUGACACAAUUCAAGCAAGAGCUGCCAUAAACAUGAGAGAUGUUCAACAAAUCAUGACAACUGAGUCAAGUAGCCCGUCUCACCCUCCAGAACUUCAGCUAAAUUAUCAUCUGAAAACAUUAUUGUUCAUGUUUAAGUUAAAUCAAUGCUGAGAAAACUCACAUCAUGUAACAGUGCAAGUUGUGUUUCAUCAUCUAAUAACAGCUGUUGAGAAUUGGUUCAUGUUUACUUUAUAAUAAUAGACAUGUGAUUAUGAAUAUAACAGUCGGCAUAAUAUAUUUUUUCAUCUCUUCCACACAGAGAUCAUGUUUUUACCUGAAAAAUAUGAAUUUCUUGUAUUUCUCUUUCUCUGUCAUGUUCAAGCUGUGAUUAAAUCUGUCACACUUUUUAGUUUAUAUUUCUCAGGGUGUGGUUAUUGUUAAAAAUGUAUUUCUGUAUAAACACAAGCCCUAUUAAAUCAUGACUACAACAAAUCUAAUGGACAUUUUCACUGUUGACCUAAAGUGGCAGGACACGAUGUCAUACUGUAUGGGGUAAGUUGUCACAGUGGAAUCUUUCACACACUGUAACACAUAAUCUGUCAUAUUUGUCUUAGUUUCAUUUUCAUGGACUUUCGUUUGUUUCUAUUCAGUUUCCUUUUUCCUUUGUUCUAGUUCCUGCCAGUCUUUAGUUGUCUCUGUGUAUCAGGCCAAUUUGCACAUUUACAUCCUCUUCAAAACCUAAUACAAAAAUGAAUACGACAGCAAUUUGCUACAUUCCUACCAUAUUGAAUUAUAUCCUAAAUCAAAAAAAAAAAAAGAAAUACUAUCAAAACAAUCAGAUAGCCGAACACCUACACGAGUGUUAGUCUUUCAGUUUCAUCACCAUCUAAGGGGAAACUUAGUGUCCGAGAUAAACCACGCCCUCCUCAUUACCCUACGGACAAAGAAAUGUAAAAAUACAUAAAUGUAGAAAUAAAGAAAUGUAGAAAUGAAUAAAUGUUGAAAUGAACAAAUAUGGAAAUAAAUACACAAAUAAAUAAAAAUCGAAAUGAAUAAAUGUUUAAAUAAAUAAAAGAAAAAUAAAUGUGGAAAAAAAUAAAUAUACAUAAAUAAGGAAAUAAAUGUAUAAAUAAUUAUUUAUUUAUUCAUUUUUAUUUUUUGCUUUUCUAUGUAUAUUUAUUUAUGUAUUUAUUUAUUUUUAAUUUUGGCAGACUCCAUACCAGAAGGAGUAGACUUGUGUUUCUGUUUUCCCUCUCCCUUGACUCAGAAAACGAAACUAAUGUUUUACCAGAAAGCGAAACCGAAAUUUACCGUGACAUUUUUAGUGGUCCUUCAAGAGCCUGAGAGCUGAAACAUCAACGAAGCGCUGGAGAACAACAUUUGCUGAAAUCAAAAAAGCUAGCUUUCAUUUGACCAUUGGACAAAGAUCUAGGACGUGUGGAUCUUCCGGGUGAAUUUGGCCUGCUACAGAAACCUCUCCACCUUCUCAAUGGACACUUCCUUAUGUUAUCCCUGUUUUCAACCUGACACGGAAAGCAUAAUGUCUGUGAUGCGUGAUCUUAAGGAAAAGAACUUUUCAGACGACACCCUUUUCUCCAACUUGGACUUUGCUGAGAGAUUCCUUCAAUACCAUCCUCUAAAACAGUACUCAAAGUUGUUGGUUAAGGGAAACUACUCUUGUGUACAAAUUGGUGAUAGUAAACAGGUGAUCUUUACUGUAAGAUCAGAAAACAACCAAGUCUUCGUGAAUGUCUGUAUCCACAACAUAUAUGGUGGAAAAGUCUCAAAGGAUUCCAUUAAAGCCUGUCACUUUUUCAACCACUCUUGCCAAGAUGAGUUUAAAUCCUGUUUUACACAGGCUCAAGAAGCUGUUCCUAAAGAGGGUCUGACAAGACUACACAUUAUAUGCAACUGGUUCUCAGUCACCUACAGCACCAAAUUUCAUGGUCCAGGCCCAACUGUGGAAACAAAGUGUCAUUUAAAGCUUGAGAACAUGACUGCUGAGAGUUUGCUGAACAAAAAAGUCUGGCUGCAGAAAGAGAAGCCCACAUGUCACGGUUUGAUAGCAUGUCUACACUAUCUCACAAAGCAAUACCUUACCGCAAGCAUUUCUUCAUGGUUAUGCUAUGGAUUUGUCAUACAUGCGGACCAAGAAAUAAUCAAAAUCUCUUCAGGUGAAAAUGUUAACACAGAGUAUGUAUUGCUACAUGAUCAUGAGGGGGUCUCAAUGUUUCCUCCAACAUUGGAAUAGAAGCUAUGACAGCAUUCCAGAAUACUGCAACAUAGUCUGUUUAUGAUAAAUAUAAUCACAGACAUGAUUAAAUGAAUUCAUUAUCCACAUAAUCACAAAUCUUCACGACUAAAAGUUUGUUUAAAAUAUUAGCCCUCAAAUAACAAUGCCAUUACCUCUUGAGUCAGUAUAUGCAAUGCAUAUCUUUUGUUUUAAUAGAUUUACAUUUGCAUGCUUUCCUACUUCAUCUGUGUUUGCUGACAAAAAAAAAAAAUGUAGUAGAUUAUAUUAUUCUGUACUCAGAUUAUUUUUUUAUAAUCUUUAAUAUCAUAAUAAUAGACAAUAUGUAAAUAAACAGCUUGAUUCUUUGUUCUUUGUAGUUCUGUAUCCUGCAUGUUUUGCCUUGAAUUUUAUUAAGUGAUGAAGAUCAGAUUUUAAUGUACACAGUAAUGCACAACAAAAAAAAAAAAAAACAUUUUAAUAGUUAUAUAAAAUAAGUUACAGUGAAUUUAAAGCAUAAUAAAACAGUAUAAAACAAUUUGGUGUAUGUUUGAAUGACUAAUUGCAAGCAGAAUUAUGUCAAUAUGUGACAACUUACCCCAUGACUGUCAAAAUACUAGCAGUUGGUGACAUUACGAAAACUGCAUUACUUGUCAUGUUUCAGUUCUACCUGCAGAAAAUAUGAAAUCCAUAGUUUUUUAUAAUUCCGUUUCCUUUUACUGCAGCAAUAGUAGAAUGCUCACAUGUAAGCCACUCUACAUUUUUGGUUGAGGGUUGAGUGUGUGCAUUCUUGGCAACAUACUUUUCUAAAAGUGAAUGAGUUAUUACUUUAGAAUGUACAGUAGAAAAAAAGAAGAAGAAAGUAACAGAAUUGCUACUGGCCAAAUGAGUCCCCUAUGAAGAACUUCAGUUCUGUUGAAAUCUCUUUCUGAGGGUGUGUGUGUGGUGUUGAUGGUGCCCAUAGAGGGUGGGAUGGUGUCCACUUGGUAGUUAGCGCCCUACACAGACCACAUAUUCUGCAUAUAUGGAACAGUAUUAGUGGAAUCGUUGUAGUAUGAAACAUUUACUGAAAUGAAAACAUGAAAUUGCUGCCAUUGAUCAACAACAAAUCCAGGUCUUUGGUUACUGUUGAAGCUUUUUUUCCACCACAGAAUAAAACAGUAUUACAGGUAACUGUGACUUUUUAUUUUGCAAUUGUGAGUUUACAUCUCGCAAUUCUGACUUUUUUUCUUCUCAGAAUUGUGAGAUGUAAACUAUAGGAAUUGAGAGAAAAAAGUCAGAAUUGUGAGAUAAAAAGACACAAUUACCUUUUUUAUUUUCUAUUCAUGGCAGAAAUAAGCUUUCAUAGGUUCUACAUGUGUGA